rnacentral:tRNA from 1 species
GCUCUGAUAGCUUAAUAGGUUAAAGUAGAGGUUUGAAAAACCUUUGACGGUUGUUCGAUUCAACCUCAGGGCA